GGAACCCCACCCCUCUCCAGCGCCCCCCCCCCCCGCCGCCGCGAUGCCUAAAGAGGAGGCUGCGUGGCCCCUUGCGCGCUGUAGCUGCUUCUCCCAGGUACAGGAGGCACGUGCGCUUCUGCGUUUUCCCGACAGGCGGCGCUGUCCUAAUGAAGGAUAACCCGGGCUGCUCUCUCCAUCUCAAGAGCUUGAGGACCAGCCCAGCUUCGAAGCAUCUGUCAUGUGAGGGUGAACUCAGAUGUGAUCAUCCUGGGAGUCACCCACCAUUCAGCCCAGCUCCAGCAUCGUGUAAUGAACUUUUACAAGUGUUUCCAUUGGGUACCCCAAACUCCCCUGAGGAUG
rnacentral:lncRNA from 1 species